GAUGAAGAACGUAGCAAAAUGCGAUAAGUAAUGUGAAUUGCAGAAUUCAGUGAAUCAUCGAAUCUUUGAACGCACAUUGCGCCCGCCAGUAUUCUGGCGGGCAUGCCUGUUCGAGCGUCAUUUCAACCCUCAAGCCCUCUGGUUUGGUGUUGGGGAUCGGCGAGCCUUUCUGGCAAGCCGGCCCCGAAAUCUAGUGGCGGUCUCGCUGCAGCCUCCAUUGCGUAGUAGUAAAACCCUCGCAACUGGAACGCGGCGCGGCCAAGCCGUUAAACCCCCAACUUCUGAAUGUUGACCUCGGAUCAGGUAGGAAUACCCGCUGAACUUAAGCAUAUCAAUAAGCGGAGGA
rnacentral:misc_RNA from 1 species